rnacentral:misc_RNA from 1 species
UAAUAAGUGUUUUAUGGCACUUUUUAAAUCCAUAUCCACCUUGUGUGCUGCAAUGUCAGUCGAUCUUCUUCAUGGAGGAGAUCGACCAAACAUCAACCUUUAUUUUUUACACUCUUCUGUCUGAAAAAUAUUAUGAAUAAACAAUUCAAAAUAC